GAGUUUGAUCAUGGCUCAGAGUGAACGCUGGCGGCAGGCCUAACACAUGCAAGUCGAACGGCAGCACAGUAAGAGCUUGCUCUUAUGGGUGGCGAGUGGCGGACGGGUGAGGAAUACAUCGGAAUCUACCUUUUCGUGGGGGAUAACGUAGGGAAACUUACGCUAAUACCGCAUACGACCUCCGGGUGAAAGCAGGGGACCUUCGGGCCUUGCGCGAUUAGAUGAGCCGAUGUCCGAUUAGCUAGUUGGCGGGGUAAAGGCCCACCAAGGCGACGAUCGGUAGCUGGUCUGAGAGGAUGAUCAGCCACACUGGAACUGAGACACGGUCCAGACUCCUACGGGAGGCAGCAGUGGGGAAUAUUGGACAAUGGGCGCAAGCCUGAUCCAGCCAUGCCGCGUGGGUGAAGAAGGCC
rnacentral:rRNA from 1 species